UACCAGGAGAACAGUGGCCACGAGGGU
rnacentral:piRNA from 1 species